rnacentral:pre_miRNA from 1 species
CAUGCACCAGUGGGGUCCCUCGGCCUGGCCUGCACCCUCUUGAAAUCCAGGAUCCCUUGGGGAAUGUAGGAGAGCUGGUGUCAGCCUGACCCCUGCAUGCCAGGCCGAGGGACCCCACUGGUGCAUG